rnacentral:lncRNA from 1 species
UUUCUCUUUACUCAUUGGACUCAGAGCCAGCCUUGACAAUGUGCUGAUGGCAACCUAGAACAUAAGCAGAGGAGUAUACAGGACAAGAACUUGAUGGUCUCGGGAAAAUGGACAACAUGACUCAGGUGAAAAAGAUUGAUCAUCAGAUGUUUCUUAUGUAUCAACCUGAUAUUUAAAUCCAUGAAGGACAGAGACGACAAAGGCAGGUGGAAUAGAUAGAGAAGAGAUUCAAGGUCUGAGCUCUACAUUACUCAAACUGUUAGAGAUUAGGAAGAAGAGGAAGACCUGGCAAAAGAAUGUCCUGGGAUGUAGAAAGAAAACCAGAAGCUUGUGUUCUCUGGAAACCAAAUGAAGAAAGGGCUUCCAGAAGGACAGACAAAGUGUAGUGUGUCAAAGGCUCCUGAGCAAUCAGAGGAGAGCACAAAGGGGCUCACAGGACUUUGGUAUCUGGAUCACCCAGUGACACUUCCUGAUCACGAGAAACUGUCAGACCAACAGGGGCACUUUCUGAAACCAGCAGUUCUUCAGUGCCCAAAUGCAACCUUGAUGGUUUGAUUUUGGAGGAUGGCAAUUCAUUAACAGCACUCCCCAGUGAUAAAUAUGAAAACCAAUAAAACCCCCCACCCAAGGCAAUCUCUCCCAGCUCCUCGCUUUGAGUAAAGUGAGUAACCUCCAUUUCUGCCAACUCCUGUCUUGUCUGAAGCCACAUUUCC